rnacentral:rRNA from 1 species
UGCGAAGGCAAGCGGAUCUCUUGAAGCCGUUCUCAGUUCGGACUGUAGGCUGCAACUCGCCUACACGAAGCUGGAAUCGCUAGUAAUCGCGGAUCAGCACGCCGCGGUGAAUACGUUCCCGGGCCUUGUACACACCGCCCGUCACACCAUGAGAGUCUGUAACACCCAAGGCCGGUGGGAUAACCUUUAUAGGAGUCAGCCGUCUAAGGUAGGACAGAUGAUUAGGGUGAAGUCGUAACAAGGUACC